rnacentral:rRNA from 1 species
UACAGAGGUCUCAAGCGUUGUUCGGAUUCAUUGGGCGUAAAGGGUGCGUAGGCGGCGCGGUAAGUCGGGUGUGAAAUCUCGGAGCUUAACUCCGAAACUGCAUUCGAUACUGCCGUGCUUGAGGACUGGAGAGGAGACUGGAAUUUACGGUGUAGCGGUGAAAUGCGUAGAUAUCGUAAGGAAGACCAGUGGCGAAGGCGGCUCACUGGACCGGUACUGACGCUGAUGCGCGAAAGCGUGGGGAGCAAACGGG